GUGUCUCAUAACACCGGCUGGUAAAGCUCUGUCUGGAUGAGGGAAUGUUGUUGUGUCUCAUAACACCGGCUGGUAAAGCUCUGUCUGGAUGAGGGAAUGUUGUUGUGUCUCAUAACACCGGCUGGUAAAGCUCUGUCUGGAUGAGGGAAUGUUGUUGUGUCUCAUAACACCGGCUGGUAAAGCUCUGUCUGGAUGAGGGAAUGUUGUUGUGUCUCAUAACACCGGCUGGUAAAGCUCUGUCUGGAUGAGGGAAGGUUGUUGUGUCUCAUAACACCGGCUGGUAAAGCUCUGUCUGGAUGAGGGAAUGUUGUUGUGUCUCAUAACACCGGCUGGUAAAGCUCUCUCUUGGAUGAGGGAAGGUUGUUGUGUCUCAUAACACCGGCUGGUAAAGCUCUGUCUGGAUGAGGGAAUGUUGUUGUGUCUCAUAACACCGGCUGGUAAAGCUCUGUCUGGAUGAGGGAAUGUUGUUGUGUCAGAAGGACAUCAAAAUGUCACAUAAGUAUGUGACUUGUAAUUAUAUAUUUUAGAUGUUUAUAUUCAUACGCCAGAUGUCGUUUGUAAGCCUAGUUUUUGUUCUCUCAAAGUGUUCAGUUGGAUGGAUUGUGCAACAGGUGAUGGUUAUCUUUUUUGGGUUUUUUUCCGACAGCAAAAUGUGCUCACUAUAACAUGAAGUGUAUGGAGCAAUGUUUGGUUUGGAUCUGAAAUUAAUGGAUGAUGAAAAUAAACAUGGUCAGUUGUUGCA